GACGAAAGCUGGCGGCAGGCCUAACACAUGCAAGUCGAGCGGAGCGGCGGACGGGUGAGUAAUGCCUAGGAAUCUGCCUGGUAGUGGGGGAUAAAGUCCGGAAACGGGCGCUAAUACCGCAUACUAUCAGAUGAGCCUAGGUCGGAUUAGCUAGUUGGUGGGGUAAAGGCCUACCAAGGCGACGACCCGUAACUGGUCUGAGAGGAUGAUCAGUCACACUGGAACUGAGACACGGUCGAAACUCCUACGGGAGGCAGCAGUGGGGAAUAUUGGAAAAUGGGCGAAAGUCUGAUCCAGCCAUGCCGCGUGUGUGAAGAUGGUCUUCGGAUGGUAAAGCACUUUAAGUUGGGAGGCGUUACCAACAGAAUAAGCACCGGCUAACUUCGUGCCAGCAGCCGCGGUAAUUC
rnacentral:rRNA from 1 species